GCAGUCGAGCGAAUUGAUGGGAGCUUGCUCCCUGAUAUUAGCGGCGGACGGGUGAGUAACACGUGGGUAACCUGCCUGUAAGAUUGGGAUAACUCCGGGAAACCGGAGCUAAUACCGGAUAACAUGUUGAACCGCAUGGUUCAACAUUGAAAGAUGGCUUUUGCUAUCACUUACAGAUGGACCCGCGGCGCAUUAGCUAGUUGGUGAGGUAACGGCUCACCAAGGCAACGAUGCGUAGCCGACCUGAGAGGGUGAUCGGCCACACUGGGACUGAGACACGGCCCAGACUCCUACGGGAGGCAGCAGUAGGGAAUCUUCCGCAAUGGACGAAAGUCUGACGGAGCAACGCCGCGUGAACGAUGAAGGCCUUCGGGUCGUAAAGUUCUGUUGUUAGGGAAGAACAAGUACCAGAGUAACUGCUGGUACCUUGACGGUACCUAACCAGAAAGCCACGGCUAACUACGUGCCAGCAGCCGCGGUAAUACGUAGGUGGCAAGCGUUGUCCGGAAUUAUUGGGCGUAAAGCGCGCGCAGGUGGUUUCUUAAGUCUGAUGUGAAAGCCCACGGCUCAACCGUGGAGGGUCAUUGGAAACUGGGGAACUUGAGUGCAGAAGAGGAAAGUGGAAUUCCAAGUGUAGCGGUGAAAUGCGUAGAGAUUUGGAGGAACACCAGUGGCGAAGGCGACUUUCUGGUCUGUAACUGACACUGAGGCGCGAAAGCGUGGGGAGCGAACAGGAUUAGAUACCCUGGUAGUCCACGCCGUAAACGAUGAGUGCUAAGU
rnacentral:rRNA from 1 species